rnacentral:rRNA from 1 species
UACGUAGGGGGCAAGCGUUGUCCGGAAUCAUUGGGCGUAAAGAGCGUGUAGGCGGUUCGGUAAGUCUGCUGUGAAAGUCCAGGGCUCAACCCUGGGAUGCCGGUGGAUACUGUCGGGCUAGAGUACGGAAGAGGCGAGUGGAAUUCCUGGUGUAGCGGUGGAAUGCGCAGAUAUCAGGAGGAACACCGGUGGCGAAGGCGGGUCUCUGGGCCGUAACUGACGCUGAGGAGCGAAAGCGUGGGGAGCGAACAGG